rnacentral:ncRNA from 1 species
UGAACGAGGAAUGCCUAGUAAGCAUGAUUCAUCAGAUUGUGCUGACUACGUCCCUGCCCUUUGUACACACCGCCCGUCGCUCCUACCGAUUGAAAGAUAUGAUGAAUUGUUUGGACAAGAAAAUAGAAAUUUUAUUUUUAUUUUUUUGGAAGGACCGUAAAUCCUAUCUUUUAAAGGAAGGAGAAGUCGUAACAAGGUUUCCGUAGGUGAACCUGCGGAAGGAUCAUUA